GACGAACGCUGGCGGCGUGCUUAACACAUGCAAGUCGAACGGAAAGGCCCUGCUUUUGUGGGGUGCUCGAGUGGCGAACGGGUGAGUAACACGUGAGUAACCUGCCCUUGACUUUGGGAUAACUUCAGGAAACUGGGGCUAAUACCGGAUAGGAGCUCCUGCUGCAUGGUGGGGGUUGGAAAGUUUCGGCGGUUGGGGAUGGACUCGCGGCUUAUCAGCUUGUUGGUGGGGUAGUGGCUUACCAAGGCUUUGACGGGUAGCAGGCCUGAGAGGGUGACCGGCCACAUUGGGACUGAGAUACGGCCCAGACUCCUACGGGAGGCAGCAGUGGGGAAUAUUGCACAAUGGUCGGAAGCCUGAUGCAGCAACGCCGCGUGCGGGAUGACGGCCUUCGGGUUGUAAACCGCUUUCGCCUGUGACGAAGCGUGAGUGACGGUAAUGGGUAAAGAAGCACCGGCUAACUACGUG
rnacentral:rRNA from 1 species